CUAUCAUGCAGUCGGACGGGAUCCGUCGGAGAGCUUGCUCGAAGACGGUGAGAGUGGCGCACGGGUGCGUAACGCGUGAGCAACCUACCUCUAUCAGGGGGAUAGCCUCUCGAAAGAGAGAUUAACACCGCAUAACAUCAACAGCCCGCAUGUUCAUGUUGAUUAAAUAUUUAUAGGAUAGAGAUGGGCUCGCGUGACAUUAGCUAGUUGGUAGGGUAACGGCUUACCAAGGCGACGAUGUCUAGGGGCUCUGAGAGGAGAAUCCCCCACACUGGUACUGAGACACGGACCAGACUCCUACGGGAGGCAGCAGUAAGGAAUAUUGGUCAAUGGGCGGAAGCCUGAACCAGCCAUGCCGCGUGCAGGAUGACUGCCCUAUGGGUUGUAAACUGCUUUUGUCCAGGAAUAAACCUAGAUACGUGUAUCUAGCUGAAUGUACUGGAAGAAUAAGGAUCGGCUAACUCCGUGCCAGCAGCCGCGGUAAUACGGAGGAUCCGAGCGUUAUCCGGAUUUAUUGGGUUUAAAGGGUGCGUAGGCGGCCUAUUAAGUCAGGGGUGAAAUACGGUGGCUCAACCAUCGCAGUGCCUUUGAUACUGAUGGGCUUGAAUCCAUUUGAAGUGGGCGGAAUAAGACAAGUAGCGGUGAAAUGCAUAGAUAUGUCUUAGAACUCCGAUUGCGAA
rnacentral:rRNA from 1 species